ACUCAAAUGAAUUGACGGGGGCCCGCACAAGCAGCGGAGCGUGUGGUUUAAUUCGAUGCAACGCGAAGAACCUUACCUAGACUUGACAUGGCGCUGUAAGCCGCGGAAACGCGGCCCCCCUUCGGGGCAGCGUCACAGAUGUUGCAUGGCUGUCGUCAGCUCGUGUCGUGAGAUGUUGGGUUAAGUCCCGCAACGAGCGCAACCCUCGUCCCGUGUUGUCUUCUCACGGGAGACUGCCUCCAAAAGAGGAGGAAGGUGGGGAUGACGUCAAGUCCGCAUGGCUCUUACGUCUAGGGCUACACACACGCUACAAUGGCCAGGACAAUGCGCAGCCACGGGGCGACCCGGCGCGAAUCGCGAAACCUGGUCUCAGUUCGGAUGGUAGGCUGCAACUCGCCUGCCUGAAGUCGGAGUUGCUAGUAACCGCGUGUCAGCACAGCGCGGUGAAUAUGUUCCCGGGCCUUGUACACACCGCCCGU
rnacentral:rRNA from 1 species